AAGAUUUUAAGUUAAAGAAACUAUGAGCCUUCAAAGCUCAAAAUAAAGAAGAAUCUUUAAAUCUUG
rnacentral:tRNA from 1 species